ACACGGUUAUCGACUUUGAUUUCUCUGCUCGCAUCGGUGAGUUGUCAUUUUGUUAAUUUGUGUAAUUACACGGCCUGCCACCCAAAACAAAAGUAAAUAAGUAAGGGCAAUCAAAAAAAUCGCAGAUAGGAAGUGGGCUGGAACGCCUGACAACUUGAUUUAAGGUCCGGAGCAAAUCGGCAAUGCAAACUAAUCACAAGCUUGAGGGAUUUUGUGUUUGUAAGGCGUUGCAGUUUUAUUGGAUCCUAAGAAGCAAAACAAUAACCUCAUGGCCCAUUAAAAUGGUUAAUAGCAAACAAAUACAUUGGGGAAAAGGCAGCAGCAGAAGUAGCAACAACAAAACAACAAAUCACGGUAUCUCUUUUAGGCCAUUUAGUUAUGUUUUCACAUUUUAUUUAUAAAUGCUUUAGUGACUGCCAACUUGGCUGUGGCUAACAAUGUGGCCGUCUAGAUUUUUAUACAAACUAUCUUGAGAACAAAAACUAAAUGCUUCAUUUCGAUAAAUAAACCGAUUCAGAUAAAAAGUUAGAACAAAGUA
rnacentral:lncRNA from 1 species